GAUUUCAGCAUAAUUGAAGCAGCCACAACACAAGUUCUCUGUGGAUAACAAGUUGGGGAAAGGUGGAUUUGGUGAGGUUUACAAGGCACUCUUCUGAGUGGACAAGUAGUAGCUAUCAAGAGACUCUCCAAAAGCUCUGGACAAGGUGGAGAAGAAUUUAAGAAUGAAGUGCUGGUGGUUGCCAAGCUUCAACAUAGAAAUUUAGUCAGGCUUCUUGGGUUUUGCUUGCAAAGAGAAGAAAAACUACUUGUUUAUGAAUAUGUGCCCAACAAAAGUCUCGACUAUAUUCUCUUUGAUCCUGAAAAGCAAAGGGAGUUGGAUUGGGGGAGACGUUACAAGAUUAUUGGAGGGAUUGCUCGAGGUAUUCAAUACCUUCAUGAAGAUUCUAGGCUUAGAAUUAUACAUCUUUAUCUUAAAGCUAGUAA